GAUGAACGCUAGCGGCAGGCUUAACACAUGCAAGUCGAGGGGUAACAUUGUGCUUGCACAGAUGACGACCGGCGCACGGGUGCGUAACGCGUAUAGAACCUACCUUUUACAGAGGAAUAGCCUUUAGAAAUGAAGAUUAAUGCCUCAUGGUAUUGUAGACUGGCAUCAGUUUAUAAUUAAAGAUUUAUCGGUAAAAGAUGGCUAUGCGUCCUAUUAGUUAGUUGGUAAGGUAACGGCUUACCAAGA
rnacentral:rRNA from 1 species